AGCGCAUACGGUGGAUGCCUUGGCAGUCAGAGGCGAUGAAAGACGUGGUAGCCUGCGAAAAGCUUCGGGGAGUCGGCAAACAGACUUUGAUCCGGAGAUCUCUGAAUGGGGGAACCCACCUAGGAUAACCUAGGUAUCUUGUACUGAAUCCAUAGGUGCAAGAGGCGAACCAGGGGAACUGAAACAUCUAAGUACCCUGAGGAAAAGAAAUCAACCGAGAUUCCCUUAGUAGUGGCGAGCGAACGGGGAUUAGCCCUUAAGCUUCAUUGAUUUUAGCGGAACGCUCUGGAAAGUGCGGCCAUAGUGGGUGAUAGCCCCGUACGCGAAAGGAUCUUUGAAGUGAAAUCGAGUAGGACGGAGCACGAGAAACUUUGUCUGAACAUGGGGGGACCAUCCUCCAAGGCUAAAUACUACUGACUGACCGAUAGUGAACCAGUACCGUGAGGGAAAGGCGAAAAGAACCCCGGAGAGGGGAGUGAAAUAGAACCUGAAACCGUAUGCGUACAAGCAGUGGGAGCCUACUUGUUAGGUGACUGCGUACCUUUUGUAUAAUGGGUCAGCGACUUAUAUUCAGUGGCAAGCUUAACCGUAUAGGGUAGGCGUAGCGAAAGCGAGUCUUAAUAGGGCGUUUAGUCGCUGGGUAUAGACCCGAAACCGGGCGAUCUAUCCAUGAGCAGGUUGAAGGUUAGGUAACACUGACUGGAGGACCGAACCCACUCCCGUUGAAAAGGUAGGGGAUGACUUGUGGAUCGGAGUGAAAGGCUAAUCAAGCUCGGAGAUAGCUGGUUCUCCUCGAAAGCUAUUUAGGUAGCGCCUCAUGUAUCACUCUGGGGGGUAGAGCACUGUUUCGGCUAGGGGGUCAUCCCGACUUACCAAACCGAUGCAAACUCCGAAUACCCAGAAGUGCCGAGCAUGGGAGACACACGGCGGGUGCUAACGUCCGUCGUGAAAAGGGAAACAACCCAGACCGCCAGCUAAGGUCCCAAAGUUGUGGUUAAGUGGUAAACGAUGUGGGAAGGCUUAGACAGCUAGGAGGUUGGCUUAGAAGCAGCCACCCUUUAAAGAAAGCGUAAUAGCUCACUAGUCGAGUCGGCCUGCGCGGAAGAUGUAACGGGGCUCAAACCACACACCGAAGCUGCGGGUGUCACGCAAGUGACGCGGUAGAGGAGCGUUCUGUAAGCCUGUGAAGGUGAGUUGAGAAGCUUGCUGGAGGUAUCAGAAGUGCGAAUGCUGACAUGAGUAACGACAAUGGGUGUGAAAAACACCCACGCCGAAAGACCAAGGGUUCCUGCGCAACGUUAAUCGACGCAGGGUUAGUCGGUUCCUAAGGCGAGGCUGAAAAGCGUAGUCGAUGGGAAACAGGUUAAUAUUCCUGUACUUCUGGUUACUGCGAUGGAGGGACGGAGAAGGCUAGGCCAGCUUGGCGUUGGUUGUCCAAGUUUAAGGUGGUAGGCUGAAAUCUUAGGUAAAUCCGGGGUUUCAAGGCCGAGAGCUGAUGACGAGUCGUCUUUUAGAUGACGAAGUGGUUGAUGCCAUGCUUCCAAGAAAAGCUUCUAAGCUUCAGGUAACCAGGAACCGUACCCCAAACCGACACAGGUGGUCGGGUAGAGAAUACCAAGGCGCUUGAGAGAACUCGGGUGAAGGAACUAGGCAAAAUGGCACCGUAACUUCGGGAGAAGGUGCGCCGGCUAGGGUGAAGGAUUUACUCCGUAAGCUCUGGCUGGUCGAAGAUACCAGGCCGCUGCGACUGUUUAUUAAAAACACAGCACUCUGCAAACACGAAAGUGGACGUAUAGGGUGUGACGCCUGCCCGGUGCCGGAAGGUUAAUUGAUGGGGUUAGCGCAAGCGAAGCUCUUGAUCGAAGCCCCGGUAAACGGCGGCCGUAACUAUAACGGUCCUAAGGUAGCGAAAUUCCUUGUCGGGUAAGUUCCGACCUGCACGAAUGGCGUAACGAUGGCGGCGCUGUCUCCACCCGAGACUCAGUGAAAUUGAAAUCGCUGUGAAGAUGCAGUGUAUCCGCGGCUAGACGGAAAGACCCCGUGAACCUUUACUGUAGCUUUGCACUGGACUUUGAGCCUGCUUGUGUAGGAUAGGU
rnacentral:rRNA from 1 species